CAAAAGUGCUGGCUGCCAAAUGCAGGAGUAUUAGGUGUUACAUUGACUCAUGUUUUUGAGUGCGCCUAAAACUAGCGAAUGGUAAUCAAGACAUUUGCCCGGCUAAAUUUCUGUGCUUCCACUCUGAAUCGGCUGGAGUUAAUGAGUUU
rnacentral:snRNA from 1 species